rnacentral:rRNA from 1 species
CUACGGGAGGCACCAGUAAGGAAUAUUGCGCAAUGGAGGCAACUCUGACGCAGCCAUGCCGCGUGCAGGAAGAAGGCCUUAUGGGUCGUAAACUGCUUUUAUUUAGGAAUAAACCCUCGCUCGUGAGCGAGGCUGAAGGUACUGAAUGAAUAAGCACCGGCUAACGGCGUGCCAGCAGCCGCGGUAAUACGGAGGGUGCAAGCGUUAUCCGGAUUUAUUGGGUUUAAAGGGUGCGCAGGCGGGCUAUUAAGUCAGUGGUGAAAUCCCGGGGCUCAACUCCGGAACUGCCAUUGAUACUGAUAGUCUUGAGUUUGGUUGAAGUGGGCGGAAUGUAGCAUGUAGCGGUGAAAUGCAUAGAUAUGCUACAGAACACCAAUCGCGAAGGCAGCUCACUAAGCCAAAACUGACGCUCAUGCACGAAAGCGUGGGGAUCAAACAGGAUUAGAUACCCUAGUAGUC